AGUGAACGCUGGCGGCGUGCCUAAUACAUGCAAGUCGAACGAGUGGCGCACGGGGGUGUAAUGUAUAGCUAAUCCGCCCUACACUAGAGGACAACAGUUGGGAACGACUGCUAAUACUCUAUAGUGUAGGAUGAGGCUAUAUUGUAUCAGCUAGUUGGUGAGGCAAUGGGUCACCAAGGCUAUGACGCAUAACUGGUCUGAGAGGAUGAUCAGUCACACUGGAAGUGAGACACGGUUCAGGCUCCUAGGGGAGGGGGCAAUAGGGAGUAGAGCUCCAUGGGGGAAGCCCUGAAGCAACAACGCCGCGUGGAAGAUGAAACUUUUCAGGGCGUAAACUCCUUUUGUUAGAAUGGCGGUACCUAACUAAUAAGCACCGGCUAACUCCGUGCCAGCAGCCGCGGUAAUAC
rnacentral:rRNA from 1 species